rnacentral:rRNA from 1 species
GAUGUACGCUGGCGGCGUGCUUAACACAUGCAAGUCGAACGAAGCUGCUAAAAGGAAGUUUUCGGACGGAAUUUUGGUAGACUUAGUGGCGGACGGGUGAGUAACGCGUGGAUAACCUGCCUUAUACAGGGGGAUAACGGAGAGAAAUUUCCGCUAAGACCGCAUAAGACCACAGUACCGCAUGGUGCAGGGGUAAAAUAUUUAUAGGUAUAAGAUGGAUCCGCGUCCGAUUAGCUAGUUGGUGAGGUAGAGGCUCACCAAGGCGAAGAUAGGUAGCCGGCCUGAGAGGGUGGACGGCCACAAGGGGACUGAGAUACGGCCCUUACUCCUACGGGAGGCAGCAGUGGGGAAUAUUGGACAAUGGGGGCAACCCUGAUCCAGCAAUUCUGUGUGCACGAAGACGGUUUUCGGAUUGUAAAGUGCUUUCAGCAGGGAAGAAGGAAGUGACGGUACCUGCAGAAGAAGCGACGGCUAAAUACGUGCCAGCAGCCGCGGUAAUACGUAUGUCGCGAGCGUUAUCCGGAAUUAUUGGGCAUAAAGGGCAUCUAGGCGGCCUUCCAAGUCAGGGGUGAAAACCUGCGGCUCAACCGCAGGCCUGCCUUUGAAACUGAUAGGCUGGAGUACCGGAGAGGUGGACGGAACUGCACGAGUAGAGGUGAAAUUCGUAGAUAUGUGCAGGAAUGCCGAUGAUGAAGAUAGUUCACUGGACGGUAACUGACGCUGAAGUGCGAAAGCCGGGGGAGCGAACAGG